rnacentral:rRNA from 1 species
UACAGAGGUCCCAAGCGUUGUUCGGAUUCACUGGGCGUAAAGGGUGCGUAGGCGGGUCUUUAAGUCAGGGGUGAAAUCCUGGAGCUCAACUCCAGAACUGCCUUUGAUACUGAAGAUCUUGAGUUCGGGAGAGGUGAGUGGAACUGCGAGUGUAGAGGUGAAAUUCGUAGAUAUUCGCAAGAACACCAGUGGCGAAGGCGGCUCACUGGCCCGAUACUGACGCUGAUGCACGAAAGCGUGGGGAGCAAACAGG